UACAGAGGUCUCAAGCGUUGUUCGGAUUCAUUGGGCGUAAAGGGUGCGUAGGCGGCGAGGUAAGUCGGAUGUGAAAUCCCGGGGCUCAACCCCGGAACUGCAUUCGAUACUGCUUUGCUUGAGUACUGGAGAGGAGACUGGAAUUUACGGUGUAGCAGUGAAAUGCGUAGAUAUCGUAAGGAAGACCAGUGGCGAAGGCGAGUCUCUGGACAGUUACUGACGCUGAGGCACGAAGGCCAGGGGAGCGAACGGG
rnacentral:rRNA from 1 species